UGCAGAGUCUGCUUUGCAGUACACCGUGCACGGUGCUGAACGGCACGUGUCACAAGCACGUGCCCAGCUAUUGGUAUCCCCUCCUGGUGAAUAAUAGAUGGUUUCCAUAACACGUCUUCAAGCUAUGGAGACCGACCUUGUUAGAGAAUCUCAUCAAAUGUUCGAAUGGAUUGUGGCACAUGAGUUCUCAUACUACCGGCCUAAAAUAUAGCCAGGUACACUGUUUCGGGCCAAGACAUGAUGUCCUUUGUUGGCCGCGGCCUAGUCCAUGAUCAGCUCUUAAACGUAUGUAAGAACUUGGAUUUUCUGAUUCCGGUCUAUGGAAUGUCUUAUAUGAUUAUAUGUACUCAACUCUGCUUCUAAUCAGUCACAAUUUGUUAAGAGACAAUUUUUGUGGUGGAGAUUUCUUCUAUGAACUUACUGAAUGUGAUUUACUUUAAGAAAGAUGAAUUUAAUGAUUAUC